rnacentral:ncRNA from 1 species
UUAAUUUAAUAGCAGAAGAAUCAUCUAAAGGAAUUAUUGCUUGAACUGAACCCUUACCAAAGGUUUUAUUUCCUAAGAUUUUUGCUCUAGAAUGAUCUUGCAUAGCGCCAGCAACAAUCUCAGAUGCAGAAGCAGAUCCGGAAUUGACCAAAACUAUCAUUUUUAUGUUCUUGAACCAAGUAGGCAAAAAUUUUAAAUCAUCCGAAGCAUUUAUAGAA